GGUUCUACUGCUACCCAAUCUUGGGUCAACUGCCUCACUUCUCUAAGCUCUGAGUUCUCUUUUCCAUAUGUAAUCCCAACCUCCUGGGGAAUUCCCUGGCGGUCCAGUGGUUAGGGCUUUCACUGCGGUGGCCCGGGUUCAAUCCCCUGUGGGGGAACGAAGAUCCCGCAAGCCCCAUGGCGUGGCCAAAAAAAUAAAAAAUAAACCAACGUCCUGGAUUUAUGUUUGGAAUGAGGGCAAGAGACCAAGCAUUUAUUUAGAAGGUAUUAUUUUCCUUUUUUUCUUUUUUUUUUUGGCCGCGCCGUGCGGCUUGUGGGAGACUUGUGGGAUCUUAGUUUCCCUGACCAGGGAUGGAACCCAGUGCCACGGCAGUGAAAGCACAGAGUCCUAACCACUGGACCACCAGGGAAGUCCCCAAGGAUUAAUUUAGUGUCUCCUAUAUGCCACGUCCUGUUAUGAAUAUUUAUUAACUUAGUAAUUCCUUUCAAGGGCCCUAUGAGGUUGAUACUAUUAAUAUUCCCUAUUUAACAGAUGGGCAAAUGGGCAAACUGAGGUUAAAGCACUGACACAAGAUCAAACAGCGAAGAAGUGGCAGAGGAAGGAGUUUAACCCAGAACCUCAGGCUCCAGAAGUCAGUGAUCUAAACCACUACAUAUACAAUAUAACGUACAUACUAGAGGCAUGCAGCAAUAAAUUUAGGUCCUUGAACAGUUCCUGGGAGUAUCAAGAGUGCCCAGUUCCUCCUUGCUUUUUCAGUAGUUUCCAUUGCCCAUCUGUCCUGGGCCACUCCUUUUAGCCUUACCCUGCCCAACCCUCCUGGCCUCACCCUCCCUCUGACAACAAAGGGUCAGCCAGGUUUUUAUGGGCUCUGAUAAGGCCCUUGAAGGGCCAAAGUUCGCCAGCACUUCCUCUUUGCAGAAGGGCCUAGAGGAGGCGGUCCUGAGCUGAGUACCCCAGGCCUGGCCCAGAAGAUCUGGGUUCCGGCUGGUUACCAGUGAGGCUGGUAUAAGAGCCACCCACCAGCCGCUGUCUGCCACCAUUCGCUACUCCUGCAGCUCUCCUCACCGUAGAAGCCACCAGCCCAGCCUCUCAAGAUGGCCUUUGUUCCUGCACCAGGCUACCAGCCCGCCUACAACCCGACGCUGCCCUACCACAGGCCUAUCCCAGGCAGUCUCAGCGUUGGAAUGUCCAUUUACAUCCAAGGAGUGGCUAGCGAGCAUAUGAAGAGGUUCUUCGUGAACUUCGAGGUGGGGCAGGGCCCAGAGGCAGACAUCGCCUUCCACUUCAACCCCCGCUUUGACGGCUGGGAUAAGGUGGUCUUAAACACGAGGCAGAACGGCAACUGGGGCAACGAGGAGAAGAAAAGGAGCAUGCCCUUCAGCAAGGGCGCCGCCUUCGAGCUGGUGUUCAUGGUCUUGGCCGAUCACUACAAGGUGGUGGUAAAUGGGAAUCCCUUCUAUGAGUUUGGGCACCGGAUCCCACUACAGAUGGUCACCCACCUGCAUGUGGAUGGCGACCUGCAGCUUCAAUCAAUCAACUUCAUCGGAGGCCAGCCCGCCCCAAACCAGGUCCACGGUGAACAACUGGCCAAGACACAAGCACUAGAACCCCACAGCAACACUACUUGGAGAAGCCCAAACUUCAGAAACCUGGCAUGUCCUUCAGCUGAGGGCUCUACCCUUCCCAACCUGUGCCCAUGCCUAAUCCGGUGUACCCAGGUCUGGGGCAGUACUACCAAGAGCCAAGUAACCUCCCUACCAUGGAGGGACCCCCAACCUUCAACCCGCCUGUGCCAUUUAAUGGGAGACUGCAAGGGGGGCUUACAGCCCGAAGAACCAUUAUUGUCAAGGGCUACGUACCCCCCACAGCCAAGAGCUUUGUCAUCAACUUCAAGGUGGGAUCCUCGGGGGACCUGGCUCUGCACAUUAACCCCCGGCUGAAUGAGGGCACCGUGGUUCGGAACAGCUUUCUGAAUGGCUUGUGGGGAGCCGAGGAAAGGAAGGUCUCCUACAACCCGUUUGGUCCUGGACAGUUCUUUGAUCUGUCCAUUCGCUGUGGCAUGGAUCGCUUCAAGGUGUACGCCAACGGCCAGCACCUCUUCGACUUCUCCCAUCGCCUUUCGGCCUUCCAGAGGGUGGACAUGGUGGAGAUCCAGGGUGAUGUCACCUUGUCCUAUGUCCAG